UGCAGUCGAGGGGUAUAGGUUUUCGGACCUAGAGACCGGCGCACGGGUGCGUAACGCGUAUGCAAUCUACCUUGUACAGGGGGAUAGCCCAGAGAAAUUUGGAUUAAUACCCCAUAGCGUAAUGAUAUGGCAUCAUAUUAUUACUAAAGUUCCAACGGUACAAGAUGAGCAUGCGUCCUAUUAGCUAGUUGGUGUGGUAACGGCACACCAAGGCAACGAUAGGUAGGGGUCCUGAGAGGGAGAUCCCCCACACUGGUACUGAGACACGGACCAGACUCCUACGGGAGGCAGCAGUGAGGAAUAUUGGACAAUGGGCGCAAGCCUGAUCCAGCCAUACCGCGUGCAGGAAGAAGCAUCUAUGGUGUGUAAACUGCUUUUGUACGGGAAGAAACACUCCUACGUGUAGGAGAUUGACGGUACCGUAAGAAUAAGGAUCGGCUAACUCCGUGCCAGCAGCCGCGGUAAUACGGAGGAUCCAAGCGUUAUCCGGAAUCAUUGGGUUUAAAGGGUCCGUAGGCGGUUUAAUAAGUCAGUGGUGAAAUCUGGUCGCUCAACGAUCAAACGGCCAUUGAUACUGUUAGACUUGAAUUAUUGGGAAGUAACUAGAAUAUGUAGUGUAGCGGUGAAAUGCUUAGAUAUUACAUGGAAUACCAAUUGCGAAGGCAGGUUACUACCAAUAUAUUGACGCUGAUGGACGAAAGCGUGGGGAGCGAACAGGAUUAGAUACCCUGGUAGUCCACGCCGUAAACGAUGGAUACUAGCUGUUCGGAGCAAUCUGAGUGGCUAAGCGAAAGUGAUAAGUAUCCCACCUGGGGAGU
rnacentral:rRNA from 1 species